AUUGUAAAGAAAAGGCAGUUCAGCAUUGAACUAAAACGUGCGGUAUCCGUGAGAGAUCCUGUUGGUGUACACAACAUACAUAACACAUACAAACCAUAAAAAGCAUUCCACACUUUCUUAGGGUUUAAAACACAUGGCCAGCCCACCUUGGCGCACUGUCAGCACUGAAAAAAGUGUUUAAGAACAGCCAGACCAGUCCACAGAGUAGAUGUGAUAAGUCUUUAAAGGACAUUACUCGUCUCACAAUCACUAAAAUCACAUCAAUUGCUCAAAAGCAAGUAAGAUUUUUCCUCUUUUUUAAACAAACAUUAAAAAAAAAAAGCCUAACAGUCUGAUAAUGCUAUUGCAAGCACUGCAAAUGUGAAUUAGGACAUAAAGGUUAAGAGCAAGCUGCAAUUAGCUGUGUUACUACACUGGGCCAUUUGACAGCGAGAUCCAGAUGUUCCCACUGAUCAGCCUUUUGUCUGGCCCGCUGCGGCGCUGACUAGCAGCAUUCUUUCUGCGAGAAACGGGGACAGAACCAGAAUUUCUCUUAUGACCUCAGCCGAUUUCAGCACAAAUCUCCUGAAGUAAGAGGCCAUUAUUUCAGUUCGUUGGCAUAAUCUCAGUAAACCAGUCGACCUACUUCUAGUGCAUGCAUUACUGUUAAUGGAAGUUUCUAAUAUUCAUAUUUAACUUGUAAACGUGUCUAAUGAAUUGGAAUCCCAUUUAUACAAUUCCUCUUAAAAACUAGUAUUUCAGAACUCUCGAAGAAUGAUAUUUGUUUCCAGGUGUGUCCUCACACAAAACUAAAGAAAGUCUGGAAAACAACCAUUCAAGAGAACCUCUCUAAACUUUUGAAGAAGAAAUAGUGUAUUUUUUUAGAAGAUACUUUUCGGAGUACAUUAAAAAAUACCCGAAUUCUAUCUUCUACAAGUGCUAACGAAUUCCACCCUGACUUAUCUUGACAAGUUUAAAAAACAACACGUACAAAUUCUAUGUUGAAAUGUUCCCCAACAUACUUGCAGUUAUCCCAACUCGGUGCUGCUGGUGAAACUUCGGAUGCGUGUCCCCAGUUCUCUUCUGUCACCACGGCAGCAACAAGACCACCGGGCAGCCCAGGCAGGGCGCAGAAGCAACAGGCUCGCUCUGCCCUGACAUCGAGCCGGCGACACCUGGUGCCAGCUGGUGGAAUGUUUAUUAAGAAGCUCAAAACGUAACGCCAAUUUUUAUAAACGAUACAGAGGACAGCAGCACUCAGACAAACUGUGCAGGCAGAAGAAAGCACUUCUGGAAAAGGAAUGAAAAAAGCACCGACUUUCCAAAGCUCGUAGAGUGCUGAAGCUACUUCCUUGGAGACCAGCUCCCUCGCUCCAGCCCGCCCAAGAACUUGGGGACCAGAAGGAUUCCUAGCGGAGACGUGGCCGGGGGGCAGUGAGACCACUGCAGGCUGCAAGGACGUGCGGGGCAGCCCUGGGCUAUAGCAGCUCACCUCUGCGGCCAGAAGGACGUCUCAGAAACAUUUCCAGGGGACAGGAGAUGCUUUGAAUUUUGUAACUAUGAAAAUGAAUCCAACAACUCUACACAUCAAAGAUUUCUUUUAUAUUUUCAUUACGAUACAGGAAUGGGAGACUGGGCUUAGCAUUUGGUUGACCUUUGAGGAGAAAUUUCCGAGUGAGUAUUGCACCGAACCUUUGCCCAGCGCUGAACAUGCAAAGUGCCAUGAAUGUGGCUUCACAGAAUUGAUAAAAAUUGAACUGUUGUGGAACGCAGGAUGUAAAUACAUCAUUUUCAAAUGAAACUGUCAAACAUCUUGUUGUGGUGGUAAAAACCAAAUCACUAUGCAAAAUGAUAAUACAAGAAAAGUCAAUUGUAUGUUUCUAAUAAUAAAUGCUCUUGUGGCUUUUGAAGUCACAAAAAACUCUUGGCUGAAUUGAAGCAUUGAUUUCUGUAGUUAUUUAUGUUCAGUUCCUAUUAGAAUUCUAUUGAAUUCCUUGAAUGGUGAAUGGAAGUGCUUUUGAAAACACACACAAAAAACUGUUAAACAAGGGACAAAAUAAAUGGAGAGCCUAACAUUGCCAAAGAAAGUUUCAAAAAGUCAACAGAACAUUUCAACUUUUUUUUUGAAGUGCACGUAAGACACUUUGACAGGAAUGAUUAAGUCUAACACAAAAACAAUACACGAAAUACAUUUCUGUCACUCCUGAAGAGGAAGCAUGAACGUCAGGAUUUGCUUCUCAAGUAUUAUUUCAAAAACUCUUGGCAUACUCUUGAAAUAUGUUCUACAGUAAAACAUGUAUUUGUUAUUAAAGAAUUUUCAAGUGUUAUCACUCCAGCCUGUUGUCCACCAACAUGAAGGUAUUUUAUUUAGCACGUGUACAGAUGUAUCUGAAGUAUGCAAUAUACAUUAAUUAGAUCAUAGACACCGAAUCAACACACCUCCUAAAUAUAAUCCCCUGCUGAUUUUAGGACACAUUAGUUAAUGUUUUAUAAUAUGUGCGUUCAUAACAAUGAUAUUAUCUGCAAGUACUUGAAAUUGACCAAAGGCUUGGGCCUGGGGUCCCUAAUGCCUUCUUUCGUAAGCAUUCAUCACUUCUGUGUCAUUCUUAAGACACCUUGAAGCAUCUUCAGGGCAGCUGGGUAUGCCAGCAACUGGAAGGAGACGGGUCCGUUAUUUGAAAAGAAACCCCAU